rnacentral:lncRNA from 1 species
GGGCAACAGUGAGUGUGAGUCUGCGAUGUCAAUUGCCAACAGAGGAUCUUGACGCUUUGGUUUCGAUCACCUCCGAUGAGGAUCUGGCAAAUCUCAUCGAGGAAUACGAUCGUGUUGCAUCACCUCCAUCUUCUUUAAAGAUCAGAGCUUUCCUUUCACUACCCAAAAAAAUCUCUUCACCAACUUCUUCUUCUUCUUCAUCAUCAUCAUCGGCUUCCUCAUCGCCAAAAUCAUCAACAACAACAGCUCCAUCAACUUCUGUCACCCGCUGCCACUGUCAUGUUCCGGCAGCCGCUCCGGUUGCGUCUCCACUCUGCUUAAAAAAAUC